GGAGGCAUAGCUCAGCUGGUUAGAGCGCAUGCUUCACACGCAUGAGGUCACAGGUUCGAGUCCUGUUGUCUCCACCA
rnacentral:tRNA from 9 species